UCCUGCUUAACACAGGCAGUCUCCUUAGAGUUCCCAGCAUAACCUGAUGGCAACUAAGGACAGGGGUUGCGCUCGUUGCGGGACUGAACCCAACAUCUCACGACACGAGCUGACGACAGCCAUGCAGCACCUGUGUACCUGCUCUUGCGAGGGAGCGUAUCUCUACGCUUUUCAGGCACAUGUCAAACCCGGGUAAGGUUCUUCGCGUUGCAUCGAAUUGAGCCACAUGCUCCACCGCUUGUGCGGGCCCCCGUCAAUUCCUUUGAGUUUCACCCUUGCGAGCGUACUCCCCAGGCGGGGCACUUAAUGCGUUAGCUACGGCACUGAAGGGGUCAAUACCUCCAACACCUAGUGCCCAUCGUUUACAGCGUGGACUAC
rnacentral:misc_RNA from 1 species